rnacentral:rRNA from 1 species
AUUGAACGCUGGCGGCAUGCUUUACACAUGCAAGUCGAACGGUAACAGGCCGCAAGGUGCUGACGAGUGGCGAACAGGUGAGUAAUGCAUCGGAACGUGCCCAGUCGUGGGGGAUAACUGCUCGAAAGAGCAGCUAAUACCGCAUACGAUCUAUGGAUGAAAGCGGGGGACCGUAAGGCCUCGCGCGAUUGGAGCGGCCGAUGUCAGAUCGGGUAGUUGGUGGGGUAAAGGCUCACCAAGCCAACGAUCUGUAGCUGGUCUGAGAGGACGACCAGCCACACUGGGACUGAGACACGGCCCAGACACCUACGGUGGUCAGCAGUGGGGAAUAUUGGACAGUGGGUGCAACCCUGAGCCAGCAAGGCCGCGUGCAGGAAGAAGGCGUUCGGGUUGUAAACUGCUUUUGUACGGAACGAAACGGUCUGGGUUAAUACCCUGGGCUAAUGACGGUACCGUAAGAAUAAGCACCGGCUAACUACGUGCCAGCCGCCGCCGUAACAC